ACUUUCGGUGGAGGAACCAAACUCAUCAUAAAAAAAGGUCCCACGGUGAAGCCCUCCGUGUCUCUGCUCCCUCCCUCCUCGCUGCACCAGUCUAAGGAAUCGGCCUCGCUGCUCUGCCUGCUGUCUGCCUACUCUCCACAGGGGGCGUCGGUGAGCUGGACGGUGGACGGCUCGGCGGUGAAGGACGGGGUCUUGACCAGUGCAGAAGAACAGAAGAAGGACAGUUACACACGCAGCAGUACCCUGACCCUCAGCAAAGCACUCUGGGAAAAGGGGGAGGAGUUUGUCUGUACGGUCUCCCACGAGGGCGUGGUUCAUCCGGUCACGUUCAGAAAGAGCCAGUGUUAAGGCUAACAGCUCCAAGAUAGAACUGAACACUGAUCUGCUUACACAUCCAUCUACAAUAGAGUUUCAGUUCUACACAAUGCUGACAUUUCUGUCUUUACUCUCUUCACUGUCCUGUUGCUCUUCCUGUAGUUUUGCUCUGCUGAAAUAAAGCUUCAUUUUGGA